GAUGAACGCUGGCGGCGUGCCUAAUACAUGCAAGUCGAGCGAACGGACGAGGAGCUUGCUCCUCUGACGUUAGCGGCGGACGGGUGAGUAACACGUGGAUAACCUACCUAUAAGACUGGGAUAACUUCGGGAAACCGGAGCUAAUACCGGAUAAUAUAUUGAACCGCAUGGUUCAAUAGUGAAAGACGGUUUUGCUGUCACUUAUAGAUGGAUCCGCGCCGCAUUAGCUAGUUGGUAAGGUAACGGCUUACCAAGGCGACGAUGCGUAGCCGACCUGAGAGGGUGAUCGGCCACACUGGAACUGAGACACGGUCCAGACUCCUACGGGAGGCAGCAGUAGGGAAUCUUCCGCAAUGGGCGAAAGCCUGACGGAGCAACGCCGCGUGAGUGAUGAAGGUCUUCGGAUCGUAAAACUCUGUUAUUAGGGAAGAACAUAUGUGUAAGUAACUAUGCACGUCUUGACGGUACCUAAUCAGAAAGCCACGGCUAACUACGUG
rnacentral:rRNA from 1 species